AAUCAUUAGUCAUCAAUGAUUGUUAGAAAGAUUGAAUUAAAAACAUUUGUCCUAAUAAAUCAUAAUUUGAAAAAGCCAUCAUAAAAAUAUCACCUUCCUAAGUUAAGAAACAUAUCAGCUUGGUUCUUUAAAGGAUUUUUCAGAUUUUUUCCCGUUAAUUUUCUGUGAUUUUUCUUUUUUUAGUAAUGGUGGCAGCCAUAUUGGAUGGUGGUUGGGGUCAUCAACCAAAUUAAAUAUCAUUAAAAGUCACCAAUGCCAUUAUUGUAUCAUUUAGCCAAAGCAUGGUUAUGAUUGAAUUUUCUCAGAAUUAUUCUAUUGCUUAUUUUUUGUAAAUUUAAAAAAAAAUUGAGCAAAAGUAGCAGCACUGUAUAAUGGAGGUCAGCUUUAUCUACCACAAUAUCUAAAGAGCAUCGUUCAGGUAUAAUUGACCCAAAUUUUGCUAGCAUCUAGCCCUGAAUAGAAUUUUUAGAUAUUUUUAAUUUCAAUUUUGUCCUAUUUAAUAAUUUGAUGCUUUUAUGUUGACAAUACACAUUUUCCUACUUCAACAGUAAAUAUUAAACUGUACAAAGAACCGGCAAAAUAACAAAUUCAUUAUUUUGCCAGCAUUGGCAAAAUAGCCAUUACUAUAGAAAUAUGCCAGUAAGCUGGCUUUUUAAAAGAUAUUAUAAACAGAGCCAGCAAAAUAGCCACUGCCUCAGGUAUUAUAGAAACAUGGGUCUUUAGUGAUUAUUCUUAUCAGGAUUCACCAAUCUAGACUUUGGAAGCUUAAUGACCUUCAAAAGAUUUUUCUGGAUUUUUUUAUACAUAUUAUAUUCUAAUGGCAGGUGUCUGUUGUUUCAAAAACAGCUGUGCCAUGAGCGCAUGAUACGCCCGUCGUCUUGUGUGUGAAUUUUUAUGCAAUAAGCAUAAAUUGUUUCUGACAUACGGCGUGACAUGCGAAAACCCCCUUUUUUUUUUACAAAAAACUCAAUAUCUCUAAAAUAAAAUUUUGAAUCAAAACCAAAAAGUAUACAGAUCUUUAAAUUAAUAUAACUAAGAAGUGUGUAAAAUUUUAAGCAAUAAUCAUAAAUCGUUUUUGAGAUACGGCACGACAUGUGAAAAACCCCUCCCCCUUUUUAACAAAAUACUCAAUAUCUCUAAAAUAAAAAUUUUGAAUCAUCACCAAAAAGUAUACAGAUCUUAAGAUUAAUAUCACUACGAAGUGUGUAAAGUUUUAAGCAAUAAUCAUAAAUUGUUUUUGAGAUACAGCGCGACAUGUGAAAAAAACCACACACCUGUUUUAGUUACUAAGUCCCGUAACUCAAAAAGUUUUAAUCUUAUUUUCACCAAAAAGUAUACAGAUCGUUUGACCAUCAUAAGAAACAACUAUGUUAAGUUUCAUGAAAUUUGGAUAAGUCAUUCUCAAGUUACAGUGUGACAUGUUUACGCCAGACAGACAGACGGACGGACGGACACCGGACAUUUGUAUACCAUAAUACGUCCCGUCAAAAAUUGACGAGCAUAUAAAAAUGAAGAGGAAACCACCAGGUAUAAUUUUAAAACUUUACAUCCUAAGGAUAGUUGUAGGAACCACCAGGUAUAAUUUUGAAAUAUUACAUCUUAAGGAUAGUUGUAGGAACCACCAGGUAUAAUUUUAAAACAUUACAUCUUAAGGAUAGUUGUAGGAACCACCAGGUAUAAUUUUGAAAUAUUACAUCUUAAGGAUAGUUGUAGGAACCACCAGGUAUAAUUUUGAAAUAUUACAUCUUAAGGAUAGUUGUAGGAACCACCAGGUAUAAUUUUAAAACAUUACAUCCUAAGGAUAGUUGUAGCCUUCUUAAGGGGGUACUCCACACCUUGGCUAAAAUAGAUCUGGCUAGUUUCAUUUUCAUAAAAUUUUGACAAAAUAUUUAAUUUGACCUGUUGACAAAAAUACAAAAAUUUCAAAAAAUUUGUACCACACAAUUUACAGGAAUAAUUUCAUUGAAUAUAUAGCAGUUCGACAAACACCAAUUUUGAUCGUUGAGAAGCUUGAUUUCUCUUUACUAAUAGUAUGUGAUUAAAACGUUGAGCUAAUUUUUAAAGAGUUAACUCCUUAAAGUGUUCUGUAAACCCUUAAGAUUCAAUUUACUGAUUGGUUUGAGAGGAGAAAAUUUAUGAAAAAACAAAAUGCUUGACAUCUGACACCACAGGCUAAAAGCUAAUACAGGCCCUUUAGGGCAGGUGAGAUAAAAACCUAUGAAUGUCAAAUAAUGACAAUAUGCCAUAUGAACCUUUAGGGUGAGGUAAUCCAAGAAAAUCUAUAUUGCUACAAUUUACCAAUGCUUCCCAGUUGUUUUAAACAUAAACACAAUUAAUAAAAUGUUAAAAAUGCGUUUUAAUGUUGAUACAACUUUUAACACGACAUACAUUUGCAAAAAUAUGUUAAAAAUGAAAUUGUUAAUAAAAUAUAGUGAAAUCUCUCUAUACGUACCUUUAAUGAAAGAGAACACGUGUAAAUACAAGUUGGAAAUUCUGAAGACAGAUGUACAACAUUGUCAUUGUUGGUUUGCUGUCUAUGUCAACCCUAUAUCUUUUAAUUUUUCAUAUCACUUGGAGCAGAUUAUUAAUUGUACUUUCAAUUAAUAAACAUUCAAGAUUAUGAAAUUAUCAGCACUGAUUAUAGUUACGUAUGAUUUAGAGAAAUUUCACAAAUACAUUAAAAUCAAUAUAUAAAAUAAAAUAAA